rnacentral:rRNA from 1 species
CCUACGGGAGGCAGCAGUGAGGAAUAUUGGUCAAUGGGCGAGAGCCUGAACCAGCCAAGUCGCGUGAGGGAGUACUGCCCUAUGGGUUGUAAACCUCUUUUGUCGGGGAGCAAAAGCCGGACGUGUCCGGCUGUGAGAGUACCCGAAGAAAAAGCAUCGGCUAACCCCGUGCCAGCAGCCGCGGUAAUACGGAGGAUGCGAGCGUUAUCCGGAUUUAUUGGGUUUAAAGGGUGCGCAGGCGGAUUUGUAAGUCAGCGGUCAAAUCGUGGGGCUCAACCCCAUCCAGCCGUUGAAACUGGGGAUCUUGAGUGUGCGAGAGGUAUGCGGAAUGCGUGGUGUAGCGGUGAAAUGCAUAGAUAUCACGCAGAACCCCGAUUGCGAAGGCGACUUUCUGGACUGUAACUGACGCUGAGGCACGAAAGUGUGGGGAGCAAACAGGAUUAGAUACCCCUGUAGUC